AGCAUGUGGUUUAAUUCGAAGCAACGCGAAGAACCUUACCAGGACUUGACCUCCCUUUGACCAGUCCUUAAUCGGACUCUUCCCUUCGGGGACAAAGGAGACAGGUGGUGCAUGGUUGUCGUCAGCUCGUGUCGUGAGAUGUUGGGUUAAGUCCCGCAACGAGCGCAACCCUUGUCUUUAGUUGCCAGCAGGUAAUGCUGGGCACUCUAGAGAGACUGCCGGUGACAAACCGGAGGAAGGUGGGGAUGACGUCAAAUCAUCAUGCCCCUUAUGUUCUGGGCUACACACGUGCUACAAUGGCUGGUACAACGGGCGGCUAAGGAGUAAUCUGGAGCUAAUCCCAAAAAGCCAGUCCCAGUUCGGAUUGUGGGCUGCAACUCGCCCACAUGAAGUUGGAGUUGCUAGUAAUCGCGGAUCAGAAUGUCGCGGUGAAUGCGUUCCCGGGUCUUGUACACACCGCCCGUCACACCAUGGGAGCCUAGGGCACCCGAAGUCAGCGGUCCAACCCUAGUGGAGGAAGCUACCGAAGGUGAAAUGGGUGACUAGGGUGAAGUCGUAACAAGGUAACA
rnacentral:rRNA from 1 species